AUUUUCAAAGUUUAAUAAAAAAACAUUACGUUGAAAAUGUAAAAAUACUUUUUUUUUGGAAAUU